rnacentral:tRNA from 1 species
GGGUGAGUAACUCAACGGGAGAGUGCUUCCUCGACAAGGAAGAAGUUGUAGGUUCGAGUCCUAUCUCGCCCACCA